rnacentral:rRNA from 1 species
UACGUAGGCAGCGAGCGUUGUUCGGAGUUACUGGGCGUAAAGCGUGCGUAGGCGGUUUGUUAAGUCUGUCGUGAAAGCCCCGGGCUCAACCUGGGAAUGGCGAUGGAUACUGGCGAGCUAGAGUACGGUAGAGGAGAGUGGAAUUCCCGGUGUAGCAGUGAAAUGCGUAGAGAUCGGGAGGAACUCAGUUGCGAAGGCGGCUCUCUGGACCAGUACUGACGGCUGAGGCACG